GGAAGUGCAACUGCACUGCCAUGGAGGCAGGAGAGCCUUGCUGCAGUACAGAUCCAGCCUGAAAUGAUUGAUUUCCAGAGGAAUGCUGCAAAGUCCUAUUCUUCUCCUGGAAACAAUAGAAAAGAAAGCUUGAAAAGUAGAGAGACCUUUUUCAGGACGUUGGAGUAACCAGAAGGUUCAGAGGAGUUUAAGGCCUGGAAACUUGGAGACCUUCCUGUCUGAAGAGAAAACUCUGAAUCAGCUCAAGUGGAUGUGGUCUGAAGAAGGAAAGUGGCGACAGCCAAGAGGAAAGGGCACCAAAUAUAGGUAAAGGAGUAGGUCAGAAACAUAGGAACUCUUCUUUCUGAAGCUGUUCCCUGCUGCAGGAAACAGAAGCCAAAAAAAAUAGAAAUGGCUGAACUUACAAUAGCGUUGUUCUCCUUCCAAAUAAGCAAUGGAAAUAUGAAUGAUAAAAAUCAGAUGCUGAAUCAGAACUGGCAUAAAUGAAUUUUUUCUUGAGUCUAGAAGCACUAAAUGUAGCCAUUUAAAUGACUCAACAAGGCCUUCACCAAAACAAGGCUUGCAAUAUUCAAACCAAACACAUCCAACAUAAGCCUGUCCAAUAUUCAGGUGUCUGCACAGAGCUCUGAUUAGA
rnacentral:lncRNA from 1 species